UGAAGAGGCGUCCGUUGAGGUACAAAGCUGUAACCUUUGUUAUGGGAAAUAUCCUUCUCUUUAA
rnacentral:tRNA from 1 species